ensembl:lncRNA
AAUUGGGUACUGGCGUAUCCAGGACCUGGUUCAGGGUGUAUCCGGGCAGGUGAUUUUGGUGCGUCCCAGCAGGUUGUUCUGGCGUGUUAGGAUGGUGGUUCCAGCUUGUGUGGCAGGUGUUUGUGGCAUGUCCAGCACCUGGUUCUGGCAUAUUUGGGAGGUGGUUUCAGUGUAUCUGGUACUUGGUUCUGGGAUAUCCAACAGGUGGUUCCAAAGUGUGUGGCAGGUGGUUCCUGUGUGUCUGGCAUGUGGUUCUGGUAGGUUCGGAAGAUGGUUCCAGCCUGUCCGUUAGGUGCUUCCAGCAUGUCUGGAAGUUGGUUCUGGCGUGUCAGACUCAUGUUUCCAGUGUGUCCGGUGGGUGCUUACGGUGAGUCUGGUGGGUCAUUAUGGGAUGUCUGUGUGGUGGUUCCAGAGUGUUCGGCGGGUGCUUUUGGCAUGCCUGACGGGUUUUUCCAGCAUCUAAGGUGCCUGGUUCGAGCAUAUCCAGCAGGUGAGUUCUUUCUCAGCUUCCUAAGGAGCUGGAAGCAAGACAGUUUGUGGCUUGUCUCCCCUUGAGGGAUGGAGGCAGUGCUUUGUGCAGUCCACCUCUCGAGCAAUAUAGGGCAUGGUUGAGAGCAAAUGGGCCUUUCUGACAUAGGGUCUUUCUGACACUCUCUCCACGAGUGCACAAGGGCGGUUGGUUAAAAGUCUCUUGUCUCUAUCCUCCUAAGCUUGUGGAAUCACAAUCAUAUGGGCCUUGGCCCCAUUGCUUAAGGGGAAGAUGUAGCCAUUACCCCUGAGCCGGGUUGGCAAGAGGGAAAUGUGGCAGAAGCAGAAGUUCUAAAGUAGCGAGUUAAGGGCUGGGAGGAAAUGGCGUUCAACUGCCUGUGUAUGAGAGGUUCCCAGUAUGCUGUAAGAGCACUGUGGAAAGCGACUUCUUUCUCAGCUUCCUAAAGAGCUGGAAGCAAGAUGGUUCGUGUCUUGUCUCCCCUUGAGGGAUGGAGGCAGUGCUUUGUGCAUUCCACCUCUAGAGCAAUGUAGGGCACGGCUGAGAGCAAAGGGGUUUUCUUCCAUAGGUGCUUUCUGAAACUCUCUCCUCCAGUGCACAAGGGCGGUUGGUUAAAAGCCUAUUGUCUCUCUCCUCCUAAGCAUGUGGAAGGACAAUCAUUCAUGCCUCAGCCGAAUGAUUUGGGUGAGGUCUCGUGUGACCCACCUGCCUUAAAUGCUGGAACCAACUGCUGGACACUUCAGAAGCAUCAUCUGGAAACAGUGGAACCACCCACCGCAGAUGUGAGAAUCAGGUCCAAAAUGUGCCAGAGCACCUGCAGGACACACCAGAACCACCUGACUCAAACGCCAAAAUCACCUGCCAGAUACACAAGAACCACUUGAUGGACACUCCAGAUUCACAUGACGCGCAUGAAAGACCCAUCUCUCAGAGUGACAGAACCAUGUGCUGGAAACGCCGGAACCACAUCACUGACAGACAUGAACCACCUGCUGGACACGCCUGAAUCAUCUGCUUCACUCACCAGAACCACCUUCUGGACAAGCCAAAAUCACCUGCUGGAUACACUGGAACCAGGCCCCUUAGAAGCCGGAAAAAGCCAACAGACAUGCCAGAAGCACCUGCCGCACACUCUGAAACCACGAUACAGACAUGCCUGAAUGACGCACCAUACACACCAGAAGCACCCACCAGACACGCCAGAACCACCUGGAACCACCCACCGGACACACUGUAACCAUGACACUGACAUGCCAGAACAACCUUGCAGACAUGCCAGAAGCACCCAAAGGACAUGCUGGAACCAUCUUCCGAACAUACCAGAACCACAUGCUAGACACACAGGAACCACCUGCCAGACACUUUGCAACCACCUGUUGGAUAUGCCGAGACAACGUACCAGAUACACUGAAACCACCUCCCGAAUACACCAGAACACAGGUGCUGGCCAUGCCACAAACACCUGCCAGACAAGCCGAACCACCAGCCUAACACGCCAGCACAACCUGCCGGACAUGCCAAAAUCACCUGCCAGAUAAACUGGAACCAGGUCCUGGAUAUGCCAGAACUAAUUUCCAGAAAAGGCCAGAACAACCUGCCAGGCAGCCU